rfam:Allomyces macrogynus ATCC 38327 genomic scaffold supercont3.30, whole genome shotgun sequence.
GCGCCGUUGGUCCAGGGGUAGGAUACCACCCUCCCAAGGUGGUGGCUCGGGUUCGAAUCCCGGACGGCGCA